rnacentral:rRNA from 1 species
AGGAUUAACGCUGGCGGCGUGCCUGACACAUGCAAGUCGAACGAGGCCACAAGGCCGAGUGGCGGACGGGUGAGUAACACGUGACCAACCAACCUCGAAGUUGGGAAUAGCUCUGCGAAAGUAGGGGUAAUACCGAAUGUGGCCCAGGGCGGGCAUCCGCCUUGGUCUAAAGAUUCAUCGCUUCGAGACGGGGUCGCGGCCUAUUAGCUUGUUGGUGAGGUAACGGCUCACCAAGGCGAUGAUGGGUAGCUGGUCUGAGAGGACGACCAGCCACACUGGGACUGAGACACGGCCCAGACUCCUACGGGAGGCAGCAGUGAGGAAUCUUCCGCAAUGGGCGAAAGCCUGACGGAGCAACGCCGCGUGUGGGAUGAAGACUCUAGGGUUGUAAACCACUGUCGGAGGGGACGAUCGUGACGGUACCCUCCAAGAAAGCCCCGGCUAACUACGCGCCAGCAGCCGC